GAUGAACGCUGGCGGCGUGCCUAAUACAUGCAAGUCGAGCGAACAGACGAGGAGCUUGCUCCUCUGACGUUAGCGGCGGACGGGUGAGUAACACGUGGAUAACCUACCUAUAAGACUGGGAUAACUUCGGGAAACCGGAGCUAAUACCGGAUAAUAUAUUGAACCGCAUGGUUCAAUAGUGAAAGACGGUUUUGCUGUCACUUAUAGAUGGAUCCGCGCCGCAUUAGCUAGUUGGUAAGGUACCGGCUUACCAAGGCGCCGAUGCGUAGCCGACCUGAGAGGGUGAUCGGCCACACUGGAACUGAGACACGGUCCAGACUCCUACGGGAGGCAGCAGUAGGGAAUCUUCCGCAAUGGGCGAAAGCCUGACGGAGCAACGCCGCGUGAGUGAUGAAGGUCUUCGGAUCGUAAAACUCUGUUAUUAGGGAAGAACAAAUGUGUAAGUAACUAUGCACGUCUUGACGGUACCUAAUCAGAAAGCCACGGCUAACUACGUG
rnacentral:rRNA from 1 species